GAUGAACGCUAGCGGCAGGCCUAAUACAUGCAAGUCGAACGGAUAUAUGUUUUUCGGAAUAUAUAUUAGUGGCGCACGGGUGAGUAACACGUACAUAACUUGCCCUCAAGCGGGGGAUAGCCUUGGGAAACUGAGAGUAAUACCCCAUAGAAUUAUUGGACGGCAUCGUUUGAUAAUUAAAACUACGGUGUUUGGGGAUAGAUGCGCGUCUGAUUAGCUAGUUGGUAGGGUAAAGGCCUACCAAGGCCACGAUCGGUAGCUGGUCUGAGAGGAUGAUCAGCCACACUGGGACUGAGACACGGCCCAGACUCCUACGGGAGGCAGCAGUGGGGAAUAUUGGACAAUGGGCGCAAGCCUGAUCCAGCAAUGCCGCGUGUGUGAAGAAGGCCUGCGGGUUGUAAAGCACUUUCAGUGGGGAAGAACAGAUUCGGGUCAAUACCCCGGAGCCCUGACGUUACCCACAGAAGAAGCACCGGCUAACUCCGUGCCAGCAGCCG
rnacentral:rRNA from 1 species